AGCUCUGUAAGCGUAUACCAAAGUUGUUGCAGUUAAAACGCUCGUAGUCGGAUUUUGGUAGUUCCGGAUCUGUGCGCGUCGUGCGCGCAGAUUGCAGGGGCUGCUUUUGUGGGCAUGCGUCGGAUGAGGCGACUUUAUUGUUGAACGUCUGUACGCAACCACCAUUUACUGUGAAAAAAUUAGAGUGUUCAAAGCAGGCAUUUGCCGUGAAUACAUUAGCAUGGAAUAAUAGAAUAGGACUUGGUCUUAUUUUGUUGGUUUGUUAUGGCUGAGUAAUGAUUAAGAGGGACAGUUGGGGGCAUUUGUAUUCCGGAGCUAGAGGUGAAAUUCUUAGAUUUCCGGAAGACAAACCGCUGCGAAAGCGUCUGCCAAGGAUGUUUUCA
rnacentral:rRNA from 1 species